rnacentral:rRNA from 1 species
GGUAACUGCGUGCGACGGGGAGCGGUAAUGCGUAGGGUGCGUGCGUUAAUCGGAAGUACUGGGCGGAAGGCGUGCGCAGGCGGUUGUGUAAGACAGGUGGGAAAUCCCCGGGCUUAAACUGGGAACUGCGCUUGUGACUGCACAGCUAGAGUACGGCAGAGGUGGGUGGAAUUCCUGGGGGAGCAGUGAAAUGCGUAGAGAUCAGGAGGAACAUCGAUGGCGAAGGCAGCCCCCUGGGCCUGUACUGACGCUCAUGCACGAAAGCGUGGGGAGCAAACAGGAUUAGAUACCCGAGUAGUC